rnacentral:misc_RNA from 1 species
GCAUGGCUGCUACAGCGGCAGCCCUGGAAGCAGCAGCUGAUGCAGGGAAGUUGGUUGAUACAGCUGCUCCUGUGGAUCAAGGCACAGAGUCAAAUACACUUCAUGAUUUUGAGCUUCCAUUCUCAUUAACUGCACUUCAGAAAUUUGGUGGAGCGCAGGGAGCUCAGGCAGGGUUCAUGGCAAGGAAACAACGGAUAGAGGCAACUGUUGGAUGCCGGGUCCCUGAGAAUGAUGGGAGGAGGCAUGCUUUGACUUUGACUGUUAGUGACUACAAGAGAAGAAGAGGACUCCUCUGAAAUGUUACAAUGCACCAGCCAGUUUCCUUUCUGGUAACAACAUUAGUUUCUACAGCAGCCUUCCUGCAAAUCUAUGGGUUGUGAUGAUCUUGUUAGUGCAAGAUUAUUGAUGUUU